CAAAAAAAGUUACCGUUUUUUUUUAAGAGAAAGAGCUGCAGAAGAGUUUUCUUUUGAGCUAGGAAUUGAUCGCUGGCCAAGAGUUCUUUGUUAGUGAAAUGUUGGAAUCACCCCUUGAGUAUCCUUAAGUACCGCCGUUUAACUCUAUUGUGGAGAAUUCUUGUUUUUCAGAACCACCCUAGCCUGUUGCCAGGAGGAUGACAACCUCCCCUCGGACGGUGGGGAGAGGGAGAAAUUUGCAUCUCAGGAGACAUGCAAAUUUAUCUCAAACCCAAACUGCACUGGGACGGGACCUUCACCAAAUCCUGGAAAAUACCCCAAAAAAGACGAGCCAAAGCAGAAUUGAGAAGUCAGGGUGGUGUCUGGACAUCAAGGCCGUGGUCCGGAGACGGCAGAGAUACUUGAAAACCUCGGUCACUCCUCGCCCCAACUACAAAUGAUGCCAGUCGGACCCAGGAGCCCCUGGACUGAUAACCCAAACUGAGAAACCUGGAUAUACCCCCACUGCUCUUGUGAGGACAGGACUCCCGGCUCUGGCCCCUAGGGGACAGAGCUGCAAAUCCUUCUCUUCUGAGUCACUGCUGGGACUGGCGGCAGAACUCUGCAGAUCUGCCAAAACCCCAUUAUGAGCUGAUCACUUUAAUAAAGGCAUUAAAAGGAGGAACAUCUCCUGCCCUGUUCAUUUCAGCUGGGGACUCGUCCGGGAUUGUCACGCCUAAAGAGGACACCAGGACUGGGAUGGCCGCCCACCCUGCGACCUCCGGGACAGCUGGCUAUCAGGACCAGAGGAAAUCAGCUCAGGACCAGUGACGCUGAGGAGCGCCAGUUUGAACCACCCUAGCCUGUUGCCAGGAGGAUGACAACCUCCCCUCGGACGGUGGGGAGAGGGAGAAAUUUGCAUCUCAGGAGACAUGCAAAUUUAUCUCAAACCCAAACUGCACUGGGACGGGACCUUCACCAAAUCCUGGAAAAUACCCCAAAAAAGACGAGCCAAAGCAGAAUUGAGAAGUCAGGGUGGUGUCUGGACAUCAAGGCCGUGGUCCGGAGACGGCAGAGAUACUUGAAAACCUCGGUCACUCCUCGCCCCAACUACAAAUGAUGCCAGUCGGACCCAGGAGCCCCUGGACUUAUAACCCAAACUGAGAAACCUGGAUAUACCCCCACUGCUCUUGUGAGGACAGGACUCCCGGCUCUGGCCCCUAGGGGACAGAGCUGCAAAUCCUUCUUUUCUGAGUCACUGCUGGGACUGGCGGCAGAACUCUGCAGAUCUGCCAAAACCCCAUUAUGAGCUGAUCACUUUAAUAAAGGCAUUAAAAGGA